rnacentral:rRNA from 1 species
AGUGAACGCUGGCGGUAGGCCUAACACAUGCAAGUCGAACGGCAGCACAGUAAGAGCUUGCUCUUACGGGUGGCGAGUGGCGGACGAGUGAGGAAUACAUCGGAAUCUACUUUUUCGUGGGGGAUAACGUAGGGAAACUUACGCUAAUACCGCAUACGACCUACGGGUGAAAGCAGGGGAUCUUCGGACCUUGCGCGAUUGAAUGAGCCGAUGUCGGAUUAGCUAGUUGGCGGGGUAAAGGCCCACCAAGGCGACGAUCCGUAGCUGGUCUGAGAGGAUGGUCAGCCACACUGGAACUGAGACACGGUCCAGACUCCUACGGGAGGCAGCAGUGGAGAAUAUUGGACAAUGGGCGCAAGCCUGAUCCAGCCAUACCGCGUGGGUGAAGAAGGCCUUCGGGUUGUAAAGCCCUUUUGUUGGGAAAGAAAAGCAGCAGGUUAAUACCCCGCUGUUCUGACGGUACCCAAAGAAUAAGCACCGGCUAACUUCGUG